UUAAAUAUUGUAUACUCAUAACGAAAGAAAGGUUUUAUACGGUUAAAAGUUUAAUCAAACAACAGGUUUUCAUUAUUAAAAUGUGUUUUUUUUUUUUUUUUUUUUUUUUUUUUU
rnacentral:ribozyme from 1 species